CAGCGCGCUAUCAUGCAGUCGAGCGGCCCUUCGGGGCAGCGGCGGACGGGUUGAGUAACGCGUUGGGAAUAUGCCCUUUGGUACGGAACAACUGAGGGAAACUUCAGCUAAUACCGUAUGUGCCCUUCGGGGGAAAGAUUUAUCGCCAUUGGAGUAGCCCGCGUUGGAUUAGCUAGUUGGUGGGGUAAAGGCCCACCAAGGCGACGAUCCAUAGCUGGUCUGAGAGGAUGAUCAGCCACACUGGGACUGAGACACGGCCCAGACUCCUACGGGAAGGCAGCAGA
rnacentral:rRNA from 1 species